AGAUAUUAAUCUUUAAAGAGAAUCCUCAGAUGCACUGUAGGGGCUCUCUAUUUAAUGUAUGGUGAAAUAAAAUGAAAUAAAAUGUUUUUAAGUUUGUAACAUUAAAAAUAAUCUAAUUCAUUUUUUGGUAGAUGUAACAUGUAAUGAAUUGUUUAUUUCCAAAUAACUGACAAAGUAAGUUGAUGGAUUUAUGUUUUUCUUCUGUCUUAACCUAGGGCAAGUUAUUUUUCACUUCUUUGUUACAAUCCAGUGCCUUGGGAGCACCUUAACAUAGAUUAAGAAAUCUAACAGUUAAAUUUUAAUUAUUUUCUAAUUUUUCUUUGUCCAUACUUGAUUACUUAAGGAUAAAGUUAUUUUACAAACAUACAUCCUGGCAGAAAAGAUAUCUGAAAAUCAAACCAAGCAAAUUAAUGUUCCACUUUUGCAUCUGCAAAAAAAGUCUCAAGAACCAGAAAUGAAUAAGAAAUGUGACAGAGAGGCUCAUAUAUCUGUAUAUUCAGAACAUCCUCCUGUACAAAAGCAUGAGGAACUCUGGAUCAAACAAGGCAAAUUAGAGUGGAAAAAUAAUUUAAAACUCAUCACCAGCGAGUUAAAGCGGAAGUUUGGUGAAACUUGUCAAAGACACAAAAUUGCUCCUUAUCCUAAGGAAGAGUCACUACAUGGUAACUUUAAAGAAGGAAUAAAGUUAAUGGAAAUACCUUCUAACUUGACAAAUGAUAGACUUGAUUGUGAGAAAAAGGAUACAUUUGCAGUGCCUGUCCCUCUAGUAUUUCGGGCAUUUCCUGAACAAAAAAAGUCUAGUCUCAAAUAUGAUUGCCACUCAUCUUCUGAUUUUUCUUUAAGUGAAAAUAAAUCGGUCUGUGAAAAUGAUAACAAACCAGACACUGAGCUUGUUUUUAACAAAAAUAAGAGUUUUAAAAGUGAUACAGAAAAUAAAAAGGUAAGGAACCCACUCGCUAUGUUUGAAGUGAAAGAAGACCAAGAGCUUGACAUGCCAAUGGCAAAAAGCAUGAACCAAAAUAGCACUAAUUCUAAAUUAGACAUUGGACGUAUACCUCAGUCUAGUCAUUCAGAAAGCCUUUUUGACAAAAGGUUUUCCAGCUCCAAUGAGAUGAGACAAAUGGCUCAAAUAAAAAGGUACAAUAGUUCUGCUGUUAAAAACACUUACAAGAAAACAAAAGACUUGUUCCAGAAGCCAUUCUGUGCAGAUAAUGACAGUACUAAUAAGUAUAGAAGUAUGGAACCCGAAGUAUAAAAGGUGAGUUCUUCUCCACCAUGUAGUUACAGAACAUCAGAAGUAUAUCUAAAAGAAGAAAUACAGCAAGAUGUUCAAAAGGUUAAGAAUGAGAUAGGCAUGUUACAGAUAGACUUCCUGGAUUUGGAAAAAGAGAAAGUUCAUCAUCAAAAAGGGAUAAAUGAAGAAAAGAGGAGACACCAAAGUAAUGGGACGGCAGUAUUCGAAAACGUGUGUGUUGUCGCUGCUGCUGCUGCUGGACUAAUUCCACAAAGAGAGAGUGGAAAAACUGAAAACCACCUCUUUCCUGUUGGGAAAAAGGAAGAUUCUGAUGGGUAAGCCUAUAGCGAUAUUUAAAUAGUAGUUAAUUAUUAUUUUCCUAUAAAACAGAUUCUAGUUGGAGCUAACAUUCAUGAUUAACAAAUUUUAUAUUUUUAGUAAGGCUGUUCCAUCCUGGGUGCUAAUUAGAAAAAUGCAAAUAACUAGAUACCAUUUUUUGCAGUCAUAGUGAUAAAUAUUUUAUUAAAAAAAUAAUAACCAAAGUUAGCAAAUGUGAGGAGAAAGGCAUUCCUAUACACUGUUGUUAGAUGAAAUUGGUAAAUCCUUUCUGAAGGGUGAUUUAGCAGUGUGUUUCAAAAAUUUUAAAUAUGGUGUCCC